rnacentral:misc_RNA from 1 species
AUACCAUCAAACACAGACCAUUUUGUUUUGUUCUGUGUCUUGGACCUUUGAAGGGCUUUGCUGAUUGUUAAAAGUCAGCUCCUUUUAAAUGCAUUAGCAGAAUGUGAACUCACAUUAAGCCGGCCUCGGUUUGAUAGACAUUAGAUUAUCUAUGCUGUCGCUGGUUGGGGUUUGACUGCUUCCAAUUGUCCCUUUGGACUUGCCCUACCACAGGCAAUAACACAUUAAGC